AUGAAGGAGCCACAGGUUUGUAAUUGUAUUUUAGAGAGCUAUAUGGAGCUAUAUGGAGUAUGGCUAGAAGAUGUGGCACCCUGCCACAUGAUUUUGGAAGGUAGCUCCCAGAAGCAAAACAUUUGCCCUUUAUCCCAGCCCUGUAAGUGCACAGCACAAGUAACCGAAGAACAAAUGCAAGCAGCACCGUUCUUGCCAAAGCACGUUCUAUGGAGAGCACAUCCUCCUGCAGUGAAAGUGGACCCUCCUGGCAAGUUCCUUGUCAUAUAUGUUCAGGAUUCAUUAUGUUACUCGGAGGCAACCAGGACCUGCAUGGAGGGGGGAAGGAAUAAACAAAGAACUGAGUAGAGUGAAUGUGUCACAAAUUACCACAAACACACUGUGACUCAAUGCACUUUUCAUUUCUCUCCUCAUUAACUGUGUCUUGCUCAAAAUGAGAGACUGGGUCUAAACAUAAUCAAGUCCCACAGAUAACAAUUGACUUGACUGCUGGGGCAGUCAUCACCUUCUAGCUACUGGGAAAUAAAUUUAGAAAUAAA
rnacentral:lncRNA from 1 species